rnacentral:rRNA from 1 species
GCGGUGGAGCAUGUGGUUUAAUUCGACGCAACGCGAAGAACCUUACCAGGGCUUGACAUCCCCUGACCGCGUAUGAAAGUACGUUUUCACCCUCGGGUGACAGGGAGACAGGUGGUGCAUGGUUGUCGUCAGCUCGUGUCGUGAGAUGUUGGGUUAAGUCCCGCAACGAGCGCAACCCCUACGUUUAGUUGCUAACGCGUGAAGGCGAGCACUCUAGACGAACUGCCGUUGACAAACGGAGGAAGGUGGGGAUGACGUCAAAUCAUCAUGCCCCUUAUGUUCUGGGCUACACACGUGCUACAAUGGCCGGUACAGACGGACGCAAAGCCGCGAGGUGGAGCAAAUCCUAAAAAGCCGGUCUCAGUUCGGAUUGCAGGCUGCAAUUCGCCUGCAUGAAGUCGGAAUCGCUAGUAAUCGUGAAUCAGAAUGUCACGGUGAAUACGUUCCCGGGCCUU